AACGAACGCUGGCGGCGUGCCUAACACAUGCAAGUCGAACGAGAAAGGGGCUUCGGCUCCGAGUAAAGUGGCGCACGGGUGAGUAACACGUGGGUAACCUGCCUUUAAGUUUGGGAUAACCUGUCGAAAGACGAGCUAAUACCGAAUAAGACCACAGAUUCCCUGGAAGCAGGGGUCAAAGGUAGCCUCUACUUGUAAGCUAUCGCUUAGAGAUGGGCCUGCGUACCAUUAGCUAGUUGGUAGGGUAACGGCCUACCAAGGCAAAGAUGGUUAGCUGGUCUGAGAGGAUGAUCAGCCACACUGGAACUGAGACACGGUCCAGACUCCUACGGGAGGCAG
rnacentral:rRNA from 1 species